rnacentral:sRNA from 1 species
GCUGGGCACGGUGGCGCAUGUCUGUGAUCCCAAGGGUGUGGGAGGCUGAGGCAGGAGGAUUGCUGUCAAAGCCAGCCUCAGCAACACUGAGGCACGAUGUAACUCAGUGAGACCCCGUCUCUA